rnacentral:rRNA from 1 species
GAUGAACGCUAGCUACAGGCUUAACACAUGCAAGUCGAGGGGCAUCAGGAAGGAAGCUUGCUUUCUUCGCUGGCGACCGGCGCACGGGUGAGUAACACGUAUCCAACCUGCCGAUGACUCGGGGAUAGCCUUUCGAAAGAAAGAUUAAUACCCGAUGGCAUAGUUCUUCCGCAUGGUAGGACUAUUAAAGAAUUUCGGUCAUCGAUGGGGAUGCGUUCCAUUAGCUUGUUGGCGGGGUAACGGCCCACCAAGGCAUCGAUGGAUAGGGGUUCUGAGAGGAAGGUCCCCCACACUGGUACUGAGACACGGACCAG